AGCAGUAGCCGCGGUAAUACGUAGGUCCCGAGCGUUGUCCGGAUUUAUUGGGCGUAAAGCGGGCGCAGGCGGUUAGAUAAGUCUGAAGUUAAAGGCUGUGGCUUAACCAUAGUACGCUUUGGAAACUGUUUAACUUGAGUGCAAGAGGGAAGAGUGGAAUUCCAUGUGUAGCGGUGAAAUGCGUAGAUAUAUGGAGGAACACCGGUGGCGAAAGCGGCUCUCUGGCUUGUAACUGACGCUGAGGCUCGAAAGCGUGGGGAGCAAACAGGAUUAGAUACCCGCGUAGUCCCUGUCUCUUAUACC
rnacentral:rRNA from 1 species